rnacentral:rRNA from 1 species
ACGCUGGCGGCGUGCCUAAUACAUGCAAGUCGAGCGAAGUUUUUCUGGUGCUUGCACCGGAAAACUUAGCGGCGAACGGGUGAGUAACACGUAAAGAACCUGCCUCAUAGACUGGGACAACUAUUGGAAACGAUAGCUAAUACCGGAUAACAGCAUUAACUGCAUGGUUGAUGUUUAAAAGUUGGCUUUGCUAACACUAUGAGAUGGCUUUGCGGUGCAUUAGCUAGUUGGUGGGGUAAAGGCCUACCAAGGCGACGAUGCAUAGCCGACCUGAGAGGGUGAUCGGCCACACUGGGACUGAGACACGGCCCAGACUCCUACGGGAGGCAGCAGUAGGGAAUCUUCCGCAAUGGGCGAAAGCCUGACGGAGCAACGCCGCGUGAGUGAAGAAGGAUUUCGGUUCGUAAAGCUCUGUUGUUAGGGAAGAAUGAUUGUGUAGUAACUAUACACAGUAGAGACGGUACCUAACCAGAAAGCCACGGCUAACUACGUGCCAGCAGCCGCGGUAAUACGUAGGUGGCAAGCGUUGUCCGGAAUUAUUGGGCGUAAAGCGCGCGCAGGUGGUUUAAUAAGUCUGAUGUGAAAGCCCACGGCUCAACCGUGGAGGGUCAUUGGAAACUGUUAAACUUGAGUGCAGGAGAGAAAAGUGGAAUUCCUAGUGUAGCGGUGAAAUGCGUAGAGAUUAGGAGGAACACCAGUGGCGAAGGCGGCUUUUUGGCCUGUAACUGACACUGAGGCGCGAAAGCGUGGGGAGCAAACAGGAUUAGAUACCCUGGUAGUCCACGCCGUAAACGAUGAGUGCUAAGUGUUGGUCUCAUAAGAGAUCAGUGCUGCAGCUAACGCAUUAAGCACUCCGCCUGGGGAGUACGACCGCAAGGUUGAAACUCAAAGGAAUUGACGGGGACCCGC